CCAGAUCAGGAUUAGCCGACCACCCGCCGAAGGCCAGAGAGAAAUAUCUCAUCUUCUCUCCACCGGAUCGGUUCAAUCGAGAGCGAGGGAGAAAGGGAGGUGGUGCGUCGAGGGGGGCCGAGAUUUUGCCGGUUUGGAGCCAGAUAGGGGUAUGAGCUGCUUCGCGCACCGCCGCCGCUCCGACGUCGCCCGCCGCCAGGACGGCCUCCUCGUCUUCGUCUUCUUCCUCUCGAUUCCCAUACGUACCAGUAGUUUUAAUUUAAGUAGUAGUAAUUGUAGUAGCAAUCUCUUGUAAACUGCGCUCGCCUUUGCGUGUUCGUGGUCCUUUUGCGCUUUCUCGUCCCUCUUUCUCUCAAUCUCUCCUUAUUCUUCUCCUUCCACGGCGAAGCCGGCGGCUGGUAUGGAUCCCAAUGGCCUCAAAACUGGAGGUAUUGAAAUUUCGUUUUAUCUCUCUGUUUUUAUGAUGUUUACCUCUCUUUUUGUGUUCUGUAUGUUCCGGAUAGAAAGGGGGAUUUGUUUUUGUCCCGAUCUGUUUAUUAUGAGCUCGUAGAUAUUUUGUUCUCACCUGGUUGGCUGGUUCCGUAUGAAUCUCGUCCUGAUCUC
rnacentral:lncRNA from 7 species